rnacentral:rRNA from 1 species
GACGAACGCUGGCGGCGCGCCUAACACAUGCAAGUCGAACGGAGCUGAGAGAAGCUUGCUUUUCUUAGCUUAGUGGCGAACGGGUGAGUAACGCGUGAGUAACCUGCCCUGGAGUGGGGGACAACAGUUGGAAACGACUGCUAAUACCGCAUAAGCCCACGAUCCGGCAUCGGAUUGAGGGAAAAGGAUUUAUUCGCUUCAGGAUGGACUCGCGUCCAAUUAGCUAGUUGGUGAGGUAACGGCCCACCAAGGCGACGAUUGGUAGCCGGAGUGAGAGGUUGAACGGCCACAUUGGGACUGAGACACGGCCCAGAGUCCUACGGGAGGCAGCAGUGGGGGAUAGUGCACAAUGGGGGAAACCAUGAUGCAGCGGCGCCGCGUGGAGGAAGAAGGUUUUCGGAUUGUAAACUCCUGUCGUUAGGGACGAUAAUGACGGUACCUAACAAGAAAGCACCGGCUAACUACGUG